rfam:Triticum aestivum genome assembly, contig: Triticum_aestivum_CS42_TGACv1_scaffold_053634_1BS
UUAGUACUCCUUCCGUCCCAAAAUUUUUGUCUUAGAUUUGUCUACAUACGGAUGUAUCUAUUCACGUUUUAGCGUUAGAUAUAUCCCUAUCUAGAUAAAUCUAAGACAAGAAUUUUGGGACGGAGGAAGUAUGUG